GUAAUGUCUGGGAAACUGCCUGAUGGAGGGGGAUAACUACUGGAAACGGUGGCUAAUACCGCAUAACGUCGCAAGACCAAAGAGGGGGACCUUCGGGCCUCUUGCCAUCAGAUGUGCCCAGAUGGGAUUAGCUAGUUGGUGAGGUAACGGCUCACCAAGGCGACGAUCCCUAGCUGGUCUGAGAGGAUGACCAGCCACACUGGAACUGAGACACGGUCCAGACUCCUACGGGAGGCAGCAGUGGGGAAUAUUGCACAAUGGGCGCAAGCCUGAUGCAGCCAUGCCGCGUGUAUGAAGAAGGCCUUCGGGUUGUAAAGUACUUUCAGCGGGGAGGAAGGUGUUGUGGUUAAUAACCGCAGCAAUUGACGUUACCCGCAGAAGAAGCACCGGCUAACUCCGUGCCAGCAGCCGCGGUAAUACGGAGGGUGCAAGCGUUAAUCGGAAUUACUGGGCGUAAAGCGCACGCAGGCGGUCUGUCAAGUCGGAUGUGAAAUCCCCGGGCUCAACCUGGGAACUGCAUUCGAAACUGGCAGGCUUGAGUCUUGUAGAGGGGGGUAGAAUUCCAGGUGUAGCGGUGAAAUGCGUAGAGAUCUGGAGGAAUACCGGUGGCGAAGGCGGCCCCCUGGACAAAGACUGACGCUCAGGUGCGAAAGCGUGGGGAGCAAACAGGAUUAGAUACCCUGGUAGUCCACGCCGUAAACGAUGUCUACUUGGAGGUUGUGCCCUUGAGGCGUGGCUUCCGGAGCUAACGCGUUAAGUAGACCGCCUGGGGAGUACGGCCGCAAGGUUAAAACUCAAAUGAAUUGACGGGGGCCCGCACAAGCGGUGGAGCAUGUGGUUUAAUUCGAUGCAACGCGAAGAACCUUACCUGGUCUUGACAUCCACAGAACUUUCCAGAGAUGGACUGGUGCCUUCGGGAACUGUGAGACAGGUGCUGCAUGGCUGUCGUCAGCUCGUGUUGUGAAAUGUUGGGUUAAGUCCCGCAACGAGCGCAACCCUUAUCCUUUGUUGCCAGCGGUCCGGCCGGGAACUCAAAGGAGACUGCCAGUGAUAAA
rnacentral:rRNA from 1 species